rnacentral:rRNA from 1 species
UACGGGUGGGGCAAUCGUUGUUCGGAAUUACUGGGCGUAAAGGGCUCUUAGGCGGCCAACUAAGUCAGACGUGAAAUCCCUCGGCUUAACCGGGGAACUGCGUCUGAUACUGGAUGGCUUGAGUUUGGGAGAGGGAUGCGGAAUUCCAGGUGUAGCGGUGAAAUGCGUAGAUAUCUGGAGGAACACCGGUGGCGAAGGCGGCAGCCUGGACCAACACUGACGCUGAUGAGCGAAAGCCAGGGGAGCAAACGGG